UCCUCUUGGAGCGAAAGCGCUGGAUUAGGAAGAUGGCGGCGCCGCCGGCGAGUCCGCCCACUAGAAGGAUGCACGCCAUGAUGAAGACCACCAGGUUGCCUCUCGUCUCCUCUUCCUCCACUUCCUCUUCCUCGUUCCUGAACGCCAGUUGCAACAAUCCUGUCUGUGGGCGGCGGCAGCAGUGUGGCAGCAAGGGAGACAGCGCCCCCCGACUUCAAGGAUAGCGUGUGGGGGGCACGCGCUGCAGUUGGCCGGGCCGGGACCCUCACAGCGCAGGCAGGAGGCGUCGCAGUCCUCGCAGAUGUGACCGGAACCCUGACAGACAAUGGAGGGAGAUAAACAUUUGUCAUUAUUAGAAUUAUUAUGUGGAAAAAAGGAUUAUUCUUUAUUGUAAUGAUUUAAAAAAACAUAAAAUACAUUCAUUGGUCAACAGGAACGUUCUUCGAAUCUGGCCGAUUGUACUGUACCUGAAUUCGCACGUACUCGGCCGUCUGGCACAAAGACACGCACGUACUGCCUGACAGGAGGUAACCAGGGCCACACGAGUCACAGGAGUGAGAGAUUUUUCCUGCAAAAUAUAUUAUCAUAAAGUAUAAGCUAUGAUGGUUUAACAUUGGAACAACUUGACAGUAGCUCACCAAAUGAUGCCCCUUAUGUGGUUACGGGUUAAAGCUCCGUUUUCCGCAGAAUAAAGAAUUUACGUAUGCCCGUGAGUAUGGUUAUAUUGUCUGUUGACAUGUUGCGCCACCGUUUGUGUACCAAUAUGCAUUUUUGCGUUUGUUACAAUACCAAAUACUGUUGCUGUUCGUUCGCCCGUCUAUGGCAUUUUGCAUUAGCAUUAGGCAAAUUUAUGUGGUUCUUUGAAAAUCUUGACCCCCGUCUCUGAUGGCUCCGCUGUAUCUGUUCAUUUCCCAUUUCUGCUUUGUAAUCAAUGUCAUGUUGACCUGAGCAGGUUGCGCAGUUGCCAUGGCAACGCUCGCACGUAGCGUAUGUGUCAUCGUCAACUUGGCGGCGGUAGAAGCCGCGAGGGCAGGCGUGGAGGCAGCGGCCUUCCCGCGGCAUGAAAACCAGUCCCGACGUGCAGCUAAGGCAGCGCCCGUCCGCCGAGCACUCGACGCAAGUGGGGUCGCACGGCUCGCAUGUCCCGGAGCCCUGGUUGCCAUAGUGACUGUGACAAAGAAGAUGCAGAGCUCACGCAGCGGUUCUUUCCCGGGCCGGAGCAGCGGCGGCAGUUAUUGUGACAAGGCCGGCAACCCCCGCGCUCGUCGACGUACUCGUGUGGCGAACACUCAACAUCCGACGGCACGCAGCGACCGUGGGCCUCCUCCGUGUGGCUCUCCAGUCUGUGGCCUUCUCCGCAGCCAGAACAGGAGCCGGCCAGGGGCCCGACGCAGGGUUGCACUCUUCACAGGCCGGAGGGCAGCGUCGGCAUUCCCAGAUGUGGACCGCGUGGCCCGCGGGACAUUCCCGCACGCACUGGUGAUUGAGCAGCAGCGCAGGUUCUUCACAGCUCUGGCAGGAGGUGGCGUUCAUGCAGGACGCGCAGCCCGACGCGCAGCUUCGACACACCUGACCGACCGGGUAGCCUCUGUCGAGAUCAUUUGCUCCAGAUGAAUACAACUUGGUGUACUUUGAAGACGGAUUGACAUUCCGAGGUUAUCGAUUUCCGCUUCUCAUUGAAGUCAAAGUACUGUACCGUCCAUCAAUUUUCUAAGUAAGAACUCCAACGACGUUUCAAUGUGUUUUUCCUGGUCUGAGGUCAUAAUUUUGUGACUGGCAUGCAGCAAUAAGCUCCUUGGCGGAGGUAAUAAAGCCAAGUUGGGCCGACUCUCAUCCCCGUUAUCUGAGCGCUAAUGGACACCCAAGGAUAUGGCGUGCAAGGACAUGACGCUCAGGCAGUGUGGAUUUAAUUGCUCAUAAAUGUCAAGGAAGAAAAGUCAAAAUGAUGGCCAGUGAAUAUGUCAAGGAUGAGACUUUAUUUUUUUAAGAGUCUUCAGGAUGCCUCUAGCAGUGUUUUCAUUUAUGUGAACAUUAUGGACGUAAUAUGGAAAAUAAACUUGACUUUUUCAAGGGACCCGAGGAGACAUAACAAUAACUCAUGGGAGUAAUUAAAAAAUAAUCAUGAGUAAGUUUUACGCAGUUCCGAAAGCAAGCAAGUUAUAUUCUUCAAUUAUACGACAUUUGGAAUAACAUUUUGGAAGCGUACAUCGUAUGCAUGUGCUCUUUGGAACUCCCGAUAAGAGCGGGAUUAAUUAAAAUCUCACCUGACGCACUGCUGGACGCAUUGGCCGUCCUGCAGGAACAAAAUCGCGGUGGAAUGGCUCAGGCAGCGGGUGCAGCGCUUAAGGUCCACGCAGUC